rnacentral:rRNA from 1 species
UACGAAGGGGGCUAGCGUUGCUCGGAAUCACUGGGCGUAAAGCGCACGUAGGCGGCUUUCUAAGUCAGGGGUGAAAUCCUGGAGCUCAACUCCAGAACUGCCCUUGAUACUGGAGAGCUUGAGUUCGGGAGAGGUGAGUGGAACUGCGAGUGUAGAGGUGAAAUUCGUAGAUAUUCGCAAGAACACCAGUGGCGAAGGCGGCUCACUGGCCCGGUACUGACGCUGAGGUGCGAAAGCGUGGGGAGCAAACAGG